rnacentral:rRNA from 1 species
CAGCAGCCGCGGGAAUACAGAGGGUGCGAGCGUUAAUCGGAUUUACUGGGCGUAAAGCGUGCGUAGGCGGCUUCUUAAGUCGGAUGUGAAAUCCCUGAGCUUAACUUAGGAAUUGCAUUUGAUACUGGGAAGCUAGAGUAUGGGAGAGGAUGGUAGAAUUCCAGGUGUAGCGGUGAAAUGCGUAGAGAUCUGGAGGAAUACCGAUGGCGAAGGCAGCCAUCUGGCCUAAUACUGACGCUGAGGUACGAAAGCAUGGGGAGCAAACAGGAUUAGAUACCCCCGUAGUCCCUGUCUCUUAUAC